ensembl:lncRNA
AUAAAGCAGAUUUUAUUUGCAAUUGCAAUGGCACGCAGAAAACAGGAUGACAUCUUUUCAGCCCCAUUAGCCGACGCUUCUCUCUUCCUCCCCUGGUUCCUCAUUGGCUGAGUACUUCAGGUUCACAGUCUUCCCGACGCUCAACUAAACGUACAGAUCCUGGCUAAACGUAAAGUGUUGCUAGCUAAGCGUAUACUGCUAAUUAAUUGACUUCCAACCCUUGCUUACUCAACACUAGGCCACCACUCCCGGACACCUGCUCGUCCUAGGACAGAGAGAAGGCUGGAAGGAGGGUGGAGGGAAGUAUCUCUUGCAUCCCUCUUGAGCCAAGAGUGAGACAGUUCGACCUCAUGCGGAGGCCCUGGCUUCUCUGCUGCUUGCUAAGUCUGUUGUUCUUUUGCUAAGAGCCUCCUGGCAAAACAGAAUAGCCUUUCAAUACGCUUUGUAGUCUAUCAUACAAAAGCUGCAGCCUUUGUACUUGUUAAUUACUUGUUCCUUACUUCACCUACCUACUAAGCAUGCCACGACAUGGAAAGUUUACCUAAAGGACGAGUGAUGAGCACUAUGAGAGACCCCCCUUUGUCGGAAUGAAGAGAAACCCGGAAAGAACUGUUAUACCCACAAAGGACAACAGAUGGCAGCACAGACCACAAAAGACUCCUCUUGUUCGUUCCAACUGCAGAAACAGCAUUCCAUUCCCACAUUCCCCCCGGCUGAUGGGUGGCGUUUCUCCACUGAGCCAAAAUACGACCCCGAAUGGUCUUUUCCAGAAUUUCUUUGGACCCCCUUCAUCCCAUAGCAGCUGCUUAUCCCAGCCGCUCUUCGGUACCGGGUGAAAAUGCCCUGGGUGUGGCUGGGUGAUGGAGUCCACCUGCUUCCCCAGGGCACGGGAACACCGAGUUCCCCGGGCAAGAGUCGUGACCAGCGUCCCCCAGCAAGACAAGGCUGCCUCAAGCAGGGACUGGAAUUCCACAGGUAACGUUUUUACAACACAAACAUCGACCAGUUACAAAGACAGACAGUGACAAUGACUAAUACAGCAAUCUGUACAAGGGGCGGGAUCCCGCAGGAAGCUUUUUUGCUGCUUGCAUCCCAUUUCGGGGUCCUCUCAAUCAAAGGCAAAAAGAUCUCAACUCCCUGAGUCCCAAGAGCAGGUCCAGAAAGCAAUUUUCUAGGUCGAUCACACUAAACCCUUCAUGUUCCUGUGGGAUCAGACUCAUUAAAGCAUAGGGGUUCGGAACCAGGGGGCGUCGCUUGGGAAUUGUUUCAUUCAUUUUUCUUAGAUCUUGUACCAGCCCAUAGGUACCACCUGCCUUCUGUGCUGGCAAAAUUGGAGUGUAAUAGGGUGACAGACAGAGUUCCAGAAGACCAUUCUUAACCAAGGUUUGUAUCACAGGCUUUAGACCCGUUAUCCUUUCUAAGGUAUGGGAUCUUGUCGCUGCUUCACAGCUUCACUCCUCCUCGGACAGUUAUUUUUUUCAGGGAGUGAUUGUGAGUCCACCCCGGCUUCCUUGCCCUGCCCACACCUUUGCAUUUAUCUAUUUUUUUCAUCGUCGGCUCUUAGCAGAUUCACUGACACCUUUCUACCUGUUUCACAAGUUCUCAACUGCAGUCCUCCUUUAACUAUUCAGUCUCUCCCCAGUGAAUUGGUCCCUGCUUCUGGCACACAAGACAACUGCCCUGUGACUAUUUUAUCUCCCCAUUUUAAUUCAGCAGUAAUUCAAAAAGUGAAACUAUCAUUCCUGAUCCCUCUACCUCCGUUAUUCCUAAGGUGUUCCCAGUUAAAUUAAAUCCCAGUAUUUCAUAAGCUGAAUUGAUGACCAAGAGCAAGAAGUGAUCAAACUGUUCUGCUAAUCCAAGAGGAUCUUUCAUUAAAGGUUUCGUUUCCCUUUUGAAAUUUCUCACCUCUCCACUCGCAAGUGGGGAGUUUACAUCUCCUCUGUCCCCUGAUAACAUUGGAACUUCCCUAAGAGGAUACACGGAAGUGCCAGUGGGGAUAAUGGUGUUAGAUUUAGGAAAGGGAGAAUUUAUAACCUCCCUUUUGCAUUGUUCCGAUUCUCUCUUAAGCUGGCAGAGCUCUAUCUUUUCAGUAUCAGCACUAGUCACAGAGCUCGGUUCAGGUGGGCUGUUAAGGGGCUGAUCUGAGCCAGUACCCUGCACUCUGUCAGCUGUCUCCAGCCUCCCUCCUGUAGGUACAGGACUUGACUCGAGGCCAGGACGGCAAGGGGGGGAACACCGCUGCGUAGAGGAAAGUGAGUGAGUUUAAUCCUAGGGAAAAGUACAGGGAGCACACAGCUUAAAGGAUCCCGUCGGGGGUUUCUCUGUUCUUCCUUAUCUACGGAAUUUUAUCUAGCCAUGAUUGACCGCUGCACUCCCUAAAUCCAACAAGC